rnacentral:rRNA from 1 species
GUGGGGAAUAUUGGACAAUGGGCGCAAGCCUGAUCCAGCAAUGCCGCGUGUGUGAAGAAGGUCUUCGGAUCGUAAAGCACUUUCGACGGGGACGAUGAUGACGGUACCCGUAGAAGAAGCCCCGGCUAACUUCGUGCCAGCAGCCGCGGUAAUACGAAGGGGGCUAGCGUUGCUCGGAAUUACUGGGCGUAAAGGGCGCGUAGGCGGCUCUGUGAGUCAGGCGUGAAAUUCCUGGGCUUAACCUGGGGACUGCGCUUGAUACUGCAGGGCUUGAGGCCGAGAGAGGGUGGUGGAAUUCCCAGUGUAGAGGUGAAAUUCGUAGAUAUUGGGAAGAACACCGGUGGCGAAGGCGACCACCUGGCUCGGUACUGACGCUGAGGCGCGACAGCGUGGGGAGCAAACAGGAUUAGAAACCCUAGUAGUCC